GACGAACGCUGGCGGCGUGCUUAACACAUGCAAGUCGAACGCUGAAGCCCUUCGGGGUGGAUGAGUGGCGAACGGGUGAGUAACACGUGGGUAAUCUGCCCUGCACUCUGUGAUAAGCCUUGGAAACGGGGUCUAAUACCGGAUAGGACACGUGGCCGCAUGGUCUGCGUGUGGAAAGUUCCGGCGGUGCAGGUUGAGCCCGCGGCCUAUCAGCUUGUUGGUGGGGUGAUGGCCUACCAAGGCGACGACGGGUAGCCGGCCUGAGAGGGUGACCGCCCACACUGGGACUGAGACACGGCCCAGGCUCCUACGGGAGGCAGCAGUGGGGAAUCUUGCGCAAUGGGCGAAAGCCUGACGCAGCAACGCCGCGUGGGGGAUGACGGCCCUCGGGUUGUAAACCUCUUUCGACAUCGACGAAGCCUUCGGGUGACGGUAGGUGUAGAAGAAGCACCGGCUAACUACGUGCCAGCAGCCGCCGUAA
rnacentral:rRNA from 1 species